rnacentral:misc_RNA from 1 species
UUUCCGUAGGUGAACCUGCGGAGGGAUCAUUACUGAGUGAGGGCCCCCGGCCCGACCUCCAACCCUUUGUGUAUCUCGACCCUGUUGCCUCGGGGGCGACCCGGCCUUCGGGCGUCGGGCCCCCCGGCGGACCACUCAACUCUGCAUCUUUGCGUCUGAGUGAUUAAUCAAUCAAUUAAAACUUUCAACAACGGAUCUCUUGGUUCUGGCAUCGAUGAAGAACGCAGC